rnacentral:rRNA from 1 species
AUUGAACGCUGGCGGCAUGCUUUACACAUGCAAGUCGCACGGUAACAGGCCGCAAGGUGCUGACGAGUGGCGAACGGGUGAGUAAUGCAUCGGAACGUGCCCAGUCGUGGGGGAUAACGCAGCGAAAGCUGCGCUAAUACCGCAUACGACCUAUGGAUGAAAGCGGGGGACCGUAAGGCCUCGCGCGAUUGGAGCGGCCGAUGUCCGAGUAGGUAGUUGGUGGGGUAAAGGCUCACCAAGCCAACGAUCUGUAGCUGGUCUGAGAGGACGACCAGCCACACUGGGACUGAGACACGGCCCAGACUCCUACGGGAGGCAGCAGUGGGUAAUUUUGGACAAUGGGCGCAAGCCGGAUCCAGCAAUGCCGCGUGCAGGAAGAAGGACUUCGGGUUGUAAACUGCGUUUGUACGGAACGAAACGGUCCUGGUUAAUACCUGGUGCUAAUGACGGUACCCAAAGAAUAAGCACCGGCUAACUUCGUGCCAGCAGCCGCCGCCGUAA